GAACGCUGGCGGAAUGCUUUACACAUGCAAGUCGAGCGGCAGCGCGGGGCAACCUGGCGGCGAGCGGCGAACGGGUGAGUAAUACAUCGGAACGUGCCCAGACGUGGGGGAUAACUACUCGAAAGAGUGGCUAAUACCGCAUACGAUCUAAGGAUGAAAGCGGGGGAUCGCAAGACCUCGCGCGUUUGGAGCGGCCGAUGGCAGAUUAGGUAGUUGGUGGGGUAAAGGCUUACCAAGCCCGCGAUCUGUAGCUGGUCUGAGAGGAUGAUCAGCCACACUGGGACUGAGACACGGCCCAGACUCCUACGGGAGGCAGCAGUGGGGAAUUUUGGACAAUGGGCGAAAGCCUGAUCCAGCCAUUCCGCGUGCAGGAUGAAGGCCCUCGGGUUGUAAACUGCUUUUGUACAGAACGAAAAAGCUCUUUCUAAUACAGAGAG
rnacentral:rRNA from 1 species